rnacentral:rRNA from 1 species
GACUAAGCGUACACGGUGGAUGCCCUGGCAGUCAGAGGCGAUGAAGGACGUGCUAAUCUGCGAAAAGCGUCGGUAAGGUGAUAUGAACCGUUAUAACCGGCGAUGUCCGAAUGGGGAAACCCAGUGCAAUUCGUUGCACUAUCGUUAACUGAAUACAUAGGUUAACGAGGCGAACCGGGGGAACUGAAACAUCUAAGUACCCCGAGGAAAAGAAAUCAACCGAGAUUCCCCCAGUAGCGGCGAGCGAACGGGGAGCAGCCCAGAGUCUGAAUCAGCUUGUGUGUUAGUGGAACGGUCUGGAAAGUCCGACGGUACAGGGUGAUAGUCCCGUACACCAAAAUGCACAGGCUGUGAACUCGAAGAGUAGGGCGGGACACGUGGUAUCCUGUCUGAAUAUGGGGGGACCAUCCUCCAAGGCUAAAUACUCCUGACUGACCGAUAGUGAACCAGUACCGUGAGGGAAAGGCGAAAAGAACCCCGGCGAGGGGAGUGAAAAAGAACCUGAAACCGUGUACGUACAAGCAGUGGGAGCACCUUCGGGUGUGACUGCGUACCUUUUGUAUAAUGGGUCAGCGACUUAUAUUCUGUAGCAAGGUUAACCGUAUAGGGGAGCCGCAGGGAAACCGAGUCUUAACUGGGCGUUAAGUUGCAGGGUAUAGACCCGAAACCCGGUGAUCUAGCCAUGGGCAGGUUGAAGGUUGGGUAACACUAACUGGAGGACCGAACCGACUAAUGUUGAAAAAUUAGCGGAUGACUUGUGGCUGGGGGUGAAAGGCCAAUCAAACCGGGAGAUAGCUGGUUCUCCCCGAAAGCUAUUUAGGUAGCGCCUCGUGAACUCAUCUUCGGGGGUAGAGCACUGUUUCGGCUAGGGGGUCAUCCCGACUUACCAACCCGAUGCAAACUACGAAUACCGAAGAAUGUUAUCACGGGAGACACACGGCGGGUGCUAACGUCCGUCGUGAAGAGGGAAACAACCCAGACCGCCAGCUAAGGUCCCAAAGUCAUGGUUAAGUGGGAAACGAUGUGGGAAGGCACAGACAGCCAGGAUGUUGGCUUAGAAGCAGCCAUCAUUUAAAGAAAGCGUAAUAGCUCACUGGUCGAGUCGGCCUGCGCGGAAGAUGUAACGGGGCUAAACCAUGCACCGAAGCUGCGGCAGCGACACUAUGUGUUGUUGGGUAGGGGAGCGUUCUGUAAGCCUGCGAAGGUGUGCUGUGAGGCAUGCUGGAGGUAUCAGAAGUGCGAAUGCUGACAUAAGUAACGAUAAAGCGGGUGAAAAGCCCGCUCGCCGGAAGACCAAGGGUUCCUGUCCAACGUUAAUCGGGGCAGGGUGAGUCGACCCCUAAGGCGAGGCCGAAAGGCGUAGUCGAUGGGAAACAGGUUAAUAUUCCUGUACUUGGUGUUACUGCGAAGGGGGGACGGAGAAGGCUAUGUUAGCCGGGCGACGGUUGUCCCGGUUUAAGCAUGUAGGCUGGUUAUCCAGGCAAAUCCGGAUAAUCAAGGCUGAGGUGUGAUGACGAGGCACUACGGUGCUGAAGUAACAAAUGCCCUGCUUCCAGGAAAAGCCUCUAAGCAUCAGGUAACAUCAAAUCGUACCCCAAACCGACACAGGUGGUCAGGUAGAGAAUACCAAGGCGCUUGAGAGAACUCGGGUGAAGGAACUAGGCAAAAUGGUGCCGUAACUUCGGGAGAAGGCACGCUGGUGUGUAGGUGAAGUCCCUGCGGAUGGAGCUGAGACCAGUCGAAGAUACCAGCUGGCUGCAACUGUUUAUUAAAAACACAGCACUGUGCAAACACGAAAGUGGACGUAUACGGUGUGACGCCUGCCCGGUGCCGGAAGGUUAAUUGAUGGGGUUAUCCGUAAGGAGAAGCUCUUGAUCGAAGCCCCGGUAAACGGCGGCCGUAACUAUAACGGUCCUAAGGUAGCGAAAUUCCUUGUCGGGUAAGUUCCGACCUGCACGAAUGGCGUAAUGAUGGCCAGGCUGUCUCCACCCGAGACUCAGUGAAAUUGAACUCGCUGUGAAGAUGCAGUGUACCCGCGGCAAGACGGAAAGACCCCGUGAACCUUUACUAUAGCUUGACACUGAACAUUGAGCCUUGAUGUGUAGGAUAGGUGGGAGGCUUUGAAGCGUGGACGCCAGUCUGCGUGGAGCCAACCUUGAAAUACCACCCUUUAAUGUUUGAUGUUCUAACGUUGGCCCCUGACCGGGGUUGCGGACAGUGUCUGGUGGGUAGUUUGACUGGGGCGGUCUCCUCCCAAAGCGUAACGGAGGAGCACGAAGGUUAGCUAAUCCUGGUCGGACAUCAGGAGGUUAGUGCAAUGGCAUAAGCUAGCUUGACUGCGAGCGUGACGGCGCGAGCAGGUGCGAAAGCAGGUCAUAGUGAUCCGGUGGUUCUGAAUGGAAGGGCCAUCGCUCAACGGAUAAAAGGUACUCCGGGGAUAACAGGCUGAUACCGCCCAAGAGUUCAUAUCGACGGCGGUGUUUGGCACCUCGAUGUCGGCUCAUCACAUCCUGGGGCUGAAGUAGGUCCCAAGGGUAUGGCUGUUCGCCAUUUAAAGUGGUACGCGAGCUGGGUUUAGAACGUCGUGAGACAGUUCGGUCCCUAUCUGCCGUGGGCGCUGGAGAAUUGAGGGGGGCUGCUCCUAGUACGAGAGGACCGGAGUGGACGCAUCACUGGUGUUCGGGUUGUCAUGCCAAUGGCACUGCCCGGUAGCUAAAUGCGGAAGAGAUAAGUGCUGAAAGCAUCUAAGCACGAAACUUGCCCCGAGAUGAGUUCUCCCUGAGACUUUAAGUCUCCUGAAGGAACGUUAAAGACGAUGACGUUGAUAGGCCGGGUGUGUAAGCGCAGCGAUGCGUUGAGCUAACCGGUACUAAUGAACCGUGAGGCUUAACCUU